rnacentral:rRNA from 1 species
GACGAACGCUGGCGGCGUGCUUAACACAUGCAAGUCGAACGGAAAGGCCCUGCUUUUGUGGGGUGCUCGAGUGGCGAAUGGGUGAGUAACACGUGAGUAACCUGCCCUUGACUUUGGGAUAACUUCAGGAAACUGGGGCUAAUACCGGAUAGGAGCUCCUGCUGCAUGGUGGGGGUUGGAAAGUUUCGGCGGUUGGGGAUGGACUCGCGGCUUAUCAGCUUGUUGGUGGGGUAGUGGCUUACCAAGGCUUUGACGGGUAGCCGGCCUGAGAGGGUGACCGGCCACAUUGGGACUGAGAUACGGCCCAGACUCCUACGGGAGGCAGCAGUGGGGAAUAUUGCACAAUGGGCGGAAGCCUGAUGCAGCAACGCCGCGUGCGGGAUGACGGCCUUCGGGUUGUAAACCGCUUUCGCCUGUGACGAAGCGUGGGUGACGGUAAUGGGUAAAGAAGCACCGGCUAACUACGUG